rnacentral:lncRNA from 1 species
AGGCCUGGCCAGCCAUAUCCAUGGAUUAAGCUUUGGAGAUCGAGAUGGAGCCAGGGAAGAAAAUAUCGAGAAGGGCCGUGUCCUUGCUAAAGGUUCCAAUCUAAACCACGCUCCGGGAAGAUCCAGGUACUAAACGUGGGUAUCUUAUCUUAUAUUCUCUCGCAGAGGUUCUUUCUUGUUAGCGGCACGGAGCCAAAAGUUUCUCUCCGUCCGUACGCCAAGGACACGCCUAUUGAAGGCAACCACAUGGGCUAUAAAAAUACGAUAGGUACUACCAUUGAUGGAGAUGAUCUCGUCGUGUAGAAGCGCUUCUUCUCUUCUCUUCUCUCCGAGCAUCUUGUAUUUAUGAAUGGAACGCGAAUAUGCGUUUCCACCAUUUAAAACUUGCCUGACCGUGCGUGGGUUCCCAUGAGG